ACCUGGCUGGCUCAGAUGGUAGAGCAUGCGACUCUUGAUCUCGGGGUCAUGAGUUUGAGCCCUGUGUUGGGUA
rnacentral:tRNA from 1 species